rnacentral:lncRNA from 1 species
GGCAGAACCUGGAACUUGCCUGCUGAGAGUCAAGGUCAAGCCAGCUCAUGGAAGUUAUCACGUGGAUGCCCCUGGGAGCCUCCAACCAGACAAGUGCCAUCUCCCUUCUGGAUUAUCCCCUGGCAGAGAGAAACAGCACCAACUCCACAAGGGCUCUGUGGCUGCUGGAGGGGAUGAGUGCAGUCUGGUACAUCCUCACUAUCAUCGGCUUCUUUGGGGUGAUUUUUCUCUUCCAGUUGGCCAGCAACAUCCUCAGGAAGAAUGAUAAGUCCUUGGAAGAUAUUUACUAUUCCAAUUUGACCUUUGAACUCAAAAAGAAAGGACUCCAGAGCAAGAUGGCCAAGUGCUCCUCACUGAUCAUUAGCAACACAGCUGUCCUGCAGCCUAGCCAGGCCAGCCUGGUGUCCAAGUGCGGAAACAGUGGGCCCCAAACCGGAGCCCAGGGUAUUCCUUGAAAGUCAAGCCAGCAGAUCUCCAGUGGGAGGCUCCAACCUUUUUUCCAGUAGGUGCAGCUUUGGGUUUCCUGGAACCUGGAGAGAGGAGUUGAGCCCUUGAAUGGGACAGAUAGAGGAUCACCACGGUAUGGGCACUUCUGGCUGAUGGGCAUGUGGCCCGACACCAGUAGUCUGUAUCCCUGUGAGACUUUCUGAUGCUUUAGGGUGGGGGCAGCAGAAGCCAUACUUGCCCUUCCCUAGCAAACUCUGUGCUCUAGGAUACUCCAAGAAUCUAGGAUACUCCAAGGAAACAGGUGGUUUCUUGUCAUGGAAAGAAGGCUGAUUUGGAGUGAAAUGCUCUAGGUUAAAAUUCAACUUCUAGAGACAAGUCACAUAAAGUUUGAGUGGCUGGUUGCUCACCUGGAACUUGUAGAAGUUGGGAUAGAUGGAACCAAAGGGCCAUUUCCUUUUAAAUACUGACUCCAUUGAAUUCAGAACCACAGUUGUUUAUAUUAGAAGUUACAGAUUCUUCAUUUUCAUUGUGUGACUGGAGUGCAUUGGGAAAUACACUUAUUUUGGACUCAGAAGGUCUGGACUCUACUUUGGACUUGAUUAUCACUGCUUUCGUGUCUGUGUACACACCACACCACCUCCCUGGAAUGUAGUUUACAGACAAAAUGAAGAGAGUAAUGCCACAUUGGCUAGCCUUACCCAGUAGAUAAGAUCUGAUGAGAUUAUGUGUGUGAGUGCGUUCUGCAAAGCAAGUAUAUAAAUAUAAGUGUUGCAGUGAGGGUGAUGUUGUGACAGUGAUAACUGAUGCUGAUGCUGGUGGUGUUGGCAGUGGUUUUGGUGGCUGAUGGUAGAUCUGAGUCAUGGUGGUGGAUGGAGGUUGAGGAGAAUGGAGGCGUGGCAUGGUGAUUCAUGUUGGUGGUGGUGGUGGUGGAGUGAUGCUGUUGUAGAUCAGGAAAUGACUCAUCCAUUAGCAAUCAGUCCUUAAACCAUGGCUAUAUUGCUUUGUUCUGUAGGAGAACCCAUCUGGGUAUCUGUUGAUGACCCAUACUGUGAGUUUGUAACCACCAAGGCAAAAUAGAUCUUUAAGAGUUAGAAUUUUUUCUUUGAGAGUCAAGCUGUUUCUCCAAAUUUCCUUAGUCCUUUCUUUCAACCCUCCUUCCUCAGCCCAGAUGAAUGGAUAGAAUUCGUAGAUGUUGACUCCAGGUGGCCAGAGUCCACUUUCUUUUUCACAGGGAAGGAAAGGAGCAGGACAAGGCCAGAAGAAAUGAAGCAUGCUUGGGAUUGUCUGUGGUCUCAUUGCAUCCCUCCCAUCUCUACUCCUUACUAUAAAAGGCCCUUGCACACCUGACACGGUGAAAUGAGGAUUUGUGGCAGUAUAAGGCCCCUCCAUCUCUUUGGAGCUAGUUUCAAAUAAAACCUUUUUCCUUUUCACCAAAAAUGUGUGGCUCCUGUGGUUUGUUUGAAGAGCUGUGAGCAAAGGGAGCCGGUUGACUGGUAACAAAUUGAGUCUGUGAGAUUCAGGUUUUCUAAUAGAAGAGUCACUGCCUUUGCAUUUCAUUACCUUAAAUAUAAUGUGAUCUAUUCAAGUGUUUUAUAAGUAUCUCCUACUUAUAUAUUUGUGCAAGAUAUAAUAUCUUAUUUAUAUGAUUGAUUUGGAAGAUGUGAUUAGCUGAGUUUCUAUAAGUGUCUUUCAGUAGUUAAAGAAAAAAAUUAUAUAUUGUCUGAAUUUCUAUGAAGUUCGUCCAGUUCAACUUUUGGAUCUCCCUCCUGGGCUAGGGAUAAUUUUAUUUUUCCUACCUGUGGAUUGCAGCCUGCAUUAUCCCUAUGAUCUCAUAAAGGUUAGAAUUAAACUCUG